CUACGGGUGGCAGCAGUCGAGAAUCUUCCGCAAUGGGCGAAAGCCUGACGGAGCGACGCCGCGUGCUCGAAGAAGCCCCUCGGGGUGUAAAGAGCUUUUCUCUGCGAAUAAACUUGGGUUGAAGGUAACAGAGGAAUAAGGGGAGGCAAAUCACGUGCCAGAAGCCUCGGUAAUGCGUGAUCCCCAAGCGUUAUCCGGAUUAAUUGGGCGUAAGGCGUUCGUAGGCGUCCCGCCAAGUUUUUUGUUAAAUAUCAAGGCUCAACCUUGAAACUGCAAAAAAAACUGGCGGGAUAGAGGGCGUUAGAGGCUGAUGGAACGGUCGGUGUAGGGGUGAAAUCCGUUGAUAUCGACCGGAACACCGAAAGCGAAGGCAUUCAGCUGGGGCGACCCUGACGCUGAGGGACGAAAGCGUGGGUAGCGAACGGGAUUAGAUACCCCGGUAGUC
rnacentral:rRNA from 1 species